rnacentral:rRNA from 1 species
UACAGAGGUGGCAAGCGUUGCUCGGUAUCACUGGGCUUAAAGGGCGCGUAGGCGGUGCGGUGCGGUUUCGGUGAAAUCCCUCGGCCCAACCGAGGAACAGCCGGGGCUACGGCCGCGCUAGACGGCAUCAGGGGACAGUGGAACUCCCGGUGGAGCGGUGAAAUGCGUAGAUAUCGGGAGGAACGCCGGUGGCGAAAGCGACUGUCUGGGGUGCCUGUGACGCUGAGGCGCGAAAGCCAGGGGAGCGAACGGG